rnacentral:rRNA from 1 species
UGCCACAGCCAUAUCACCCUGCAGCCCAAGACUGGUUGCCCACUGAAACUAAGCAGGGUUGAGCCUGGUUAGUACCUGGAUGGGAGACCUCUGCUGAAAACUAGGUUGCUGUUGGAA